UACGUAGGGACCAAGCGUUGUUCGGAUUUACUGGGCGUAAAGGGCGCGUAGGCGGCGCGGUAAGUCACUUGUGAAAUCUCCGGGCUUAACCCGGAACGGCCAAGUGAAACUGUCGUGCUAGAGUGCGGAAGGGGCAAUCGGAAUUCUCGGUGUAGCGGUGAAAUGCGUAGAUAUCGAGAGGAACACCUGAGGUGAAGACGGGUUGCUGGGCCGACACUGACGCUGAGUGCGCGAAAGCCAGGGGAGCAAACGGG
rnacentral:rRNA from 1 species